GAGGCGCCAUUUGCUUCUUGUUACUCAUCUUUGCAAAUGUCUCUUGUCUUCCCAGGCUCUGCCCUGAUGUGUUAGCAUUAGCUGCCUGUGGAUUUCUGAGCCGCGCUGAAACGGGGACUCAGAGCGGCCAACCUAAGUUGGUCAAGCAGAGAUGGCAGUGUGAAGCAAAGGAGGAAGACAAAAAUAAGAUCAAGUGAAGUGUAUGAUACAAGAUCUUCGUGUGCACAUAAACAGUAUCAGGUGAAAAAAUGUCUGGUAAUGGCUUUUCAGGCUGCUGUUGGGAAUAAGGUGACCAGCUAACCUUCAUCCUGGGGAAACCACUGGCGGUGGCAGGGACUGGCUGCAGGAGAAGCACGUUUGUGGGUGAGGGUCGGGCUGGGCAGCUCUUUGCAGAGGAGGCUGGUUGCAAAGCAGAGCUCCAGGCUAGAGGCCAAGUAACACAGGGUAUGAGCAGCUUCAGAAAUAACCACCAUUCAGGUUGUUUACUGCAAGGAGCUCUCGAAGGAAACCAGCAAAUUAAGGAAAGCCAACCCUAAUUCCACCAGGACUUCUGCUUGGGCUUCCUAUCAUGUCAAGUGCUGUUUCCACAGACAGAUUUCACAAGUGCAAAAAUUGAUGCAAGAUUUGGGACUUUCAUCACUACCGGGGCAAAACAAGUGUCCAGUUAAAAAAAAAAUGGAAGUGCCUUUAAUGAGAUUAGAAAAUAAAAGCUGAAGUUUUCUGCAGUCCCCUGGUUCAGAGCUGUACCUCUUCCCUGCAUGCAUAGGACCUCACACACCUAUGGGACCACAGAAAAACCUACAACAGCCAAAAGUAAUAGCACGAGAUUUCAGCAUAAACUGCAAAGGCAGGUGUGAGGACAAACCAUAAGGCCUGUGAACUAACUGAGUGUGUUCCUCCUCUAACUUACAACUGGUGUAAAUCAAUUUACAAUUGAUGUAGGACUGAUACAGACCUGAUGUGGCAUAGAUUAAACCCUUACUGAAAUCAAUGGAGUUAGGCAGGUAUAAAACUUGAGGCAAAGGAGUGGAGAACUAAUCUGAUUAUCUCAGAGUUAUGAAAACAUCAUUUAUUCUCAGAAUUGACAUACUUUGUGGUUUCUGCUGCUUGACUCUCCAAACAUUCCCUUAUACUGGAAGCACACUUGAAAACUUUAAAGAUUUAUUGCACAGCCCUCAGUU
rnacentral:lncRNA from 1 species